rnacentral:rRNA from 1 species
GCGUUGUCCGGAAUCAUUGGGCGUAAAGGGUACGUAGGCGGGUAAGCAAGUUAGAAGUGAAAUCCUAUAGCUCAACUAUAGUAAGCUUUAAAACUGUUUAUCUUGAGGUAUGGAAGGGAAAGUGGAAUUCCUAGUGUAGCGGUGAAAUGCGCAGAUAUUAGGAGGAAUACCGGUGGCGAAGGCGACUUUCUGGCCAUAACCUGACGCUGAGGUACGAAAGCGUGGGUAGUAAACAGGAUUAGAUACCCUGGUAGUCAAGGGCG